UAGGGAAUCUUCGGCAAUGGGGGGAACCCUGACCGAGCAACACCGCGUGAGUGAAGAAGGUUUUCGGAUCGUAAAGCUCUGUUGUUAAGGAAGAACGAGUGUGAGAAUGGAAAGUUCAUACUGUGACGGUACUUAACCAGAAAGGGACGGCUAACUACGUGCCAGCAGCCGCGGUAAUACGUAGGUCCCGAGCGUUGUCCGGAUUUAUUGGGCGUAAAGCGAGCGCAGGCGGUCAAUUAAGUCUGAUGUGAAAGCCCCCGGCUCAACCGGGGAGGGUCAUUGGAAACUGGUUGACUUGAGUGCAGAAGAGGAGAGUGGAAUUCCAUGUGUAGCGGUGAAAUGCGUAGAUAUAUGGAGGAACACCAGUGGCGAAGGCGACUCUCUGGUCUGUAACUGACGCUGAGGUUCGAAAGCGUGGGUAGCAAACAGG
rnacentral:rRNA from 1 species